rnacentral:rRNA from 1 species
CAUACCUUACGUUGCCUCGGCAGGGUCGCGCCUACCUAGUAGCGCCCUACCCUGAUAGGGCCUACCCGGGGAGACGCGGGCUAAGCCUGCCGGCGGCCCACGAAACUCUGUCUGAUAUUGAAUUCUGAACCUAUAACUAAAUAAGUUAAAACUUUCAACAACGGAUCUCUUGGUUCUGGCAUCGAUGAAGAACGCAGCGAAAUGCGAUAAGUAAUGUGAAUUGCAGAAUUCAGUGAAUCAUCGAAUCUUUGAACGCACAUUGCGCCCAUUAGUAUUCUAGUGGGCAUGCCUGUUCGAGCGUCAUUUCNACCCUUAAGCCUCUGUUGCUUAGCGUUGGGAGCCUACAGCACCUGUAGCUCCUCAAAGUUAGUGGCGGAGUCGGUUCACACUCUAGACGUAGUAAUUCUUUCUCGCCUAUUAGUUGGAACCGGUCUCCCGCCGUAAAACCCCCUAUUUCUAAAGGUUGACCUCGGAUCAGGUAGGAAUACCCGCUGAACUUAAGCAU